CCUGUUCUAUAAUUGAUGAUCCACGAUUAAUUGUACUUUAUUUAAUAGUUUGUAUAUCGUCGUAGUUGAAUGUCUUAUAAGAGAUAAAAUGUUCAUAAUUUAAAAUUUAAUAAAAAAAAUCAGAUCAAGAUACAGUUUAUAAUAAAGAAGAAAUGGGUUACAAUAAAAUUAUUUUUGGUUAUAAUAAUUAACAUUAUUAUUUAAAUUGGAUUUGAAAGUAAUAUAUUUAAGUUAAAAUAUAUGAUUUAAGCUCUAGAAUAUGCACAUAUCGCCCGUCACUUCCGUUGAAUUUUAAAAUGGAAUAAGUCGUAACAUAGUAGGUGUACCGGAAGGUGUACCUAGAAUGAAGCAAAUUAAAGCUUAUAGAGURUCUUAUUUACAUUAAGAAGAUAAAUUAUUAAUAUAAUUUAAUUUGAAUUAAAUAAUUUAUUUUUAAGUUGUUAAUUUAAUUUUUUUUUAAAAAAAAUAUUUUUAUGUUUGUUUAUUAAUAAAGAUAAAAUUAUUAUAAUGAUAGUUAAUUAGUAUAGUGAUAGGGCGUAAAUUAUAUAAUAUUUAAAUUAUUAAAAGAAAAAUUUAAUUUUUGUACCUUGUGUAUCAGGGUUUAUUAAAUAAUAAUUAUAUAUUUUAAUUUUCUCGAAUUUAAAAGAGUUAAAUAAUUAUAAAUUUUAUUGUUAAAUAAAUAUUUAUAAUAAUUUUUUAGUAAUGAAACGUUAGUCGUUUUUAAAUUUAUCUAGUUUUUUAAGAAAUAAAUUUAAUUUAGUUUACUAUUUUAAUUUAAAUAAUUAGAAUAUUUUUAAUUAAUAUAAUAAAUUAACAUUUUAAGGGAUAAGCUUUAAAAUGAAGAUUUUAAAAAUUAACUUUAUUUUAAAUAAGAAUAAGUAGGAUUAGAAGUUUUUUUCUUUUUAAGUGUGUUAUAACAAAUUUUUAUUUAAUUUGAUUUUUAUACAAUUUUAAAUUUUUUAUUAAAAUUAUUUAUUUAAUUUAAAAAUAUAUAUAAUAAUGAUAGAAUUAGUAUAAUUUAUAUGUUAAGAUUAUUUUAUAAAAUAUAGGUUAAGUUAAGGAAUUCGGCAAAUAUUUUCUUCGCCUGUUUAUUAAAAACAUGUCUUUUUGAUUAUGAUUUAAAGUCUAACCUGCCCAAUGAAUUUUUAAAUGGCCGCAGUAUUUUGACUGUGCAAAGGUAGCAUAAUAAUUAGUUUCUUAAUUAGGAACUGGUAUGAAUGGUUGGACGAGAGAAAGUCUGUCUCAAUUUAAUUUAGAUUAGAAUUUUAUUUUUAAGUUAAAAAGCUUAAAUAUUUUUAAAAGACGAGAAGACCCUAUAGAGUUUUAUAUUUAUUURUAUAUUUUGAAAAUUUAAGAAUAUUUUAAUUUAUUUAUAUUAAUAAUUAUNNNNNNNNNNNUAAUUAAAAAAUUUAA
rnacentral:rRNA from 1 species